CAGGUGAAAUUUAGAGAGGUAUAAAAGGUGUCCUGUUAUUUAGAAGAUUGGUCUCUUUAAUGCUUGCCUAAAUGUAACUAGAUUUCACAAGUUUGCCCUAUUUUCUCAAAAGUAGAAACGGUAAUGUGGAGUUGAGUGUAAUAAUGGUGUUCUCAAGAGCAGAAGGUGCCAUAUAAUUUAAAGUCUUAAGAGCUGCUGUGUCUUGUCUUAGGGUUUCACUAUACCACUAUGAACCACACCAAGCAAAGAGAAAGAAAGCAACUUACAUCAGGGAAGGACUAUUGGGCCUGGAUGGCCAUGUCUCAAGGAGCAGCUCUCUCAGUUUGGUAAGCAUUUCACUUCAGGGAUUCUUUCAGCAUAUGAAGGGAUGCUACAGGCACCACAGCUGGUCAGAAAGGCUCUUAAGGUAGGAGCUGUCAGCAGAGUUGCUAGAGUGGGUAUGAGAGUCAGAUAAGGUGUGCACAUUUCCCUCUGUCAGUGUCCUGGUUUGAAGGACAGGUGUCUGCCAAUAAGACAGAAGCUUCUCUUUGAAAUGGAGAAUGUAAACCCCCUUCCUCCAAAUUAUUAUUAUAAUUUUGAAAUUAAAGGGCUCUCAGGCAAAGAUAGGGGAAUUAGGAAUAACAAUUCUU
rnacentral:lncRNA from 1 species